GGCUCCGUAGUGAAGUUCAUGUUGGGUUGCAAGCUCAUCGAUGUGCAGAGGAUGCACCGGGGCCU
rnacentral:tRNA from 1 species